rnacentral:rRNA from 1 species
AGAGUUUGAUCAUGGCUCAGAUUGAACGCUGGCGGCGUGCCUAACACAUGCAAGUCGAGCGGUAACAGGUGUAGCAAUACAUGCUGACGAGCGGCGGACGGGUGAGCAAUAUUUGGGAAUCUGCCUAUUAGUGGGGGGACAACCCGGGGAAACUCGGGCUAAUACCGCAUACGCACUACGGUGGAAAGCCGGGGGACCGCAAGGCCUGGCGCUAAUAGAUGAGCCCAAAUCGGAUUAGCUAGUUGGUGAGGUAACGGCUCACCAAGGCGACGAUCCGUAGCUGGUCUGAGAGGACGACCAGCCACACCGGGAACUGAGACACGGUCCGGACUCCUACGGGAGGCAGCAGUGGGGGAAUAUUGGGACAAUGGGGCGAAAGCCUGAUCCAGCGACGCCGCGUGGGUGAAGAAGGCCUGCGGGUUGUAAAGCCCUUUCGGUGGGGAUAAAAAGCCUUGGUUUAACACACCAGGGUCUUGAUCUAACCCAAGAAAGAAGCACCGGCUAACUCUGUGCCAGCAGCCGCGGUAAUACAGAGGGUGCGAGCGUUAAUCGGAAUUACUGGGCGUAAAGCGCACGUAGGUGGCUUGGCAAGUCGAGUGUGAAAUCCCCGGGCUUAACCUGGGAACUGCAUUCGAGACUGCUUUGCUAGAGUAUGGGAGAGGGAAGUGGAAUUUCCGGUGUAGCGGUGAAAUGCGUAGAUAUCGGAAGGAACAUCAGUGGCGAAGGCGACUUCCUGGACCAAUACUGACACUCAAGUGCGAAAGCGUGGGGAGCAAACAGGAUUAGAUACCCUAGUAGUCC